AUGGACGACGACUACAAGGUCUUCCUCACCCCUCCGUCCUCGCCGCCCAUCUUCGUGCCUCCAUACGACCGCAGCUCCUACUAUUCCCCGCCGGCGCCCCAGAUCAUCACGAUGGACGCCCGCGGCGGACAUGGCUACAGCUACAGCUACAGCGCCACGCCCAUCUACCCGUCUCCUUGGUCGCCGCCGGUCUCGGGGAACGGGGUGGCCUCGAACUACCACGGCUUCUACGAUGGCCAGUUGCGGCCUGCAGCGCCCGGUCUCUUUUACGCUCUGCCGAUGGCUGGAGGUGAGACCGGUGCGGAUGCGUGGUGUAAAUAUGAUGCCGUCCUUCCGAAGCACUUUUGCAAGCAAGAAGGGUGCCUGGCCAACUGCCAGAAGCAUCUGCAGGAGUACGUGUGCCCGGACUGCAUCACGCUCGAGUCCGCCGCCUGCAUGAAUGAUGGCUCGCUUGCGCCCUUGGACGGAGCUUGCUACUGCCACAUCUGCUCCAAGGAUUAG
rnacentral:rRNA from 1 species